CUCUCACCCCCUGGUCUCUUUGCCUUGCAGUUGCCCCCCAGCGGUCCCGGAAAAAGCGCUGUCCCUAUACCAAGUACCAGAUCCGCGAACUGGAACGCGAGUUUUUCUUUAACGUGUACAUAAACAAAGAGAAAAGACUUCAACUCUCUCGGAUGCUCAACCUCACUGACCGGCAAGUCAAAAUCUGGUUCCAGAAUCGCAGGAUGAAAGAAAAGAAACUGAACAGAGACCGUCUGCAGUAUUUCACUGGAAACCCCUUAUUUUGAGAGCUCCAGGAAGCGCCCUCACCCCAGCCCCACUCACCCACCCUCCUUCCCACCAGCCUGCUCUCCGCAGGCCCACUGUCCUUGGGUUUAAUGACGUCUCUUCUCUGUGGAACUUCACGAUUCCUUCCCACGGUCAACUCGGGACCUCCCAGCGACCACUGCAGCCUGCGGACGAGGCCGGGACUUGGCCGAGCGGAUCCUAAUAAGGGGAAAAUGGGGCCUGGAGAUCCACACGAGGGCGCGCUCACGUUCCAGAAGCCGCGUUUGACCAAGAGGCCGCGGUACCUUGUCUGUCCAACACUGGAUUCUAAUAGGCGACCUCAACCCCUUAGAAACAGGCGGCAGCUAAGAGGAAAUCAAGUCUGAUACACCAACCAGCAAUUGGCUCACUGCAAAGAGUGGCAGAAAGAAGAGGUGCCCUUACACUAAGCACCAAACGCUGGAAUUAGAAAAAGAGUUCUUGUUCAAUAUGUACCUCACCCGCGAGCGCCGCCUAGAGAUCAGUAAGAGCGUUAACCUCACCGACAGGCAGGUCAAGAUUUGGUUUCAAAACCGCCGAAUGAAACUCAAGAAGAUGAGCCGAGAGAACCGGAUCCGAGAACUGACCGCCAACCUCACGUUUUCUUAGGUCUGAGGCCGG
rnacentral:lncRNA from 10 species